UCUAGGCCCCGUCAGGAGCCCGAGUUGUAAUUUGGAGAGGACACUUCGGGCUUGCCCCAGUAACGGCGAGUGAAGCGGCAAAAGCUCAAAUUUGAAAUCUGGCUCCUUCCGGGGUCCGAGUUGUAAUUUGCAGAGGAUGCUUUGGGUGCACCCGCGGCGUAAGUCCCUUGGAACAGGGCGUCAUAGAGGGUGAGAAUCCCGUCUUGAGUCGCUGGCGUGUGCCCGUGCAAAGCUCCUUCGACGAGUCGAGUUGUUUGGGAAUGCAGCUCUAAUUGGGUGGUAAAUUUCAUCUAAAGCUAAAUACUGGCCGGAGACCGAUAGCGAACAAGUAGAGUGAUCGAAAGGUUAAAAGCACCUUGAAAAGGGAGUUAAAUAGCACGUGAAAUUGUUGAAAGGGAAGCGCUUGCAGCCAGACUCGGGCGCGGAGGCUCAGCGGGCAUGUUUGCCCGUGUACUCCUUCGCGCCCGGGCCAGCAUCGGUUUUGGCGGCCGGUCAAAGGCCCCCGGAAUGUGUCGUCCUCCGGGACGUCUUAUAGCCGGGGGUGCAAUGCGGCCAGCCGGGACCGAGGAACGCGCUUCGGCACGGAUGCUGGCGUAAUGGCUGUAAGCGGCCCGUCUUGAAAC
rnacentral:rRNA from 2 species